GGGGCUGUAGCUCAGUGGUAAAGCAUUUACCUAGCAUGUGAGAGGCCCUGGGCUCAAUCCCAGCACCA
rnacentral:tRNA from 1 species